UGUCGCAGCAAUGCCGCGUGAGUGAAGAAGGCCUUCGGGUCGUAAAGCUCUGUCAAAUAGGAAGAAUGUAUUUAUAGUUAAUAGCAUUAAAUAGUGACGGUACUAUUAGAGGAAGCACCGGCUAACUCCGUGCCAGCAGCCGCGGUAAUACGGAGGGUGCAAGCGUUAUUCGGAAUCAUUGGGCGUAAAGGGCGCGUAGGCGGUUUGACAAGUCAGAUGUGAAAUCCCGGGGCUUAACCCCGGUAGGUCAUUUGAAACUGUCAGACUUGAGUGAGGUAGAGGAAAGCGGAAUUCCUGGUGUAGCGGUGAAAUGCGUAGAUAUCAGGAGGGACAUCUGUGGCGAAGGCGGCUUUCUGGACCUAAACUGACGCUGAUGCGCGAAGGCGUGGGUAGCAAACGGGAUUAGAUACCCCGGUAGUCCACGCAGUAAACGUUGAUUACUAGGUGUUGGUUGCAUAAAGCAAUCAGUGCCGCAGCAAACGCGU
rnacentral:rRNA from 1 species